rnacentral:tRNA from 1 species
CAGAAAGUAGUUUAGAAAAAAUAUUGAUAUUGGAAAUCAAAGAGUAGGGGUGACCCUACUUUCUGA